UCCACAGAAUGCCACAAAGGACACGAUCGAAUGCCUUCUCCAAGUCCACAAAACACUUGAAAGUGUGUACUAGAAGGGUGUACCUAAUAAAGUGGCCGAAAACUCGAAAGAGCACCAGAUUCCCAGCCGUAUCCGUUUGGCAAUGAGAAACAGUGAAUCUAAAACAGCAAAUGUUCUCUGCCUCUCAGGAUAUCAGAAUCUAGCAGCCCUUGAUCUCGACUGUGGCAGCGUGUGGAUUGAUGUGGGUAAUGUAGUCAAGGCCAGCUGUUAGCAAGAGGAGACGCACUUGUGUCAAACACACUGACCCCCAUUUCCAGCCUAAUAAUGCAGAUCCAUCCAGCUUCAGCCUGGCCCUGCGCUUGCAUAUGGAAAAGGUGUCAAACGCUCAGCGGAAAGCCAGUCUGUCCCCGAGGGCUCUGUCGCAUGAACUGUGUGUCACCUACAUGUCUACCCCUCAAGUGUGAUAACAGAUCUGUGUAUGAUCUCGGAAUACUGCCGACUCUUUAGCCCUGUAAUGAUGGCUGUAUGACAUUUGCUC
rnacentral:lncRNA from 1 species